ACGUAUCUUAGGAUAAAGCAAAAGUAUUUCUGGCCGAACCUAUUGAGAGAUGUGAAGCAAUACAUCGGAAAAUGUGAUUGUUGUGCUAAGCAUAAGGUUUCACAACAGGGUCCACUAGGGUACAUGGGGGGUCAUAGAGAAGUGACGCGUCCUUGGCAAAUAAUCUCAUUAGAUUUGAUGGGACCUUUUCCAAGAAGUAAAACGGGUAAUACUAUGUUGCUGGUAAUAACUUGCUGGUUCAGUAAGUUUGUACUGCUAUUUCCCUUAAGAACAGGUAAAGCUGAAAAGAUAUGUGACAUAGUAGAAAAUCAGUUUUUGUUAUAUGGGGCACCAAAGGCAAUAAUAUGUGAUAAUGGGCGGCAAUUUUGUUCGCAACUUUUUAGGGAGUUAGCAGAUAGGUACAACAGUAAAUUGUGGUUUACUCCUAAUUAUCACCCUCAGAGCAACCCCACGGAAAGGGUGAACAGAGUAAUAGGUACCAUGAUCUCGAUGUACGUCAAGCCAGGAAAACACAGCAUGUGGGAUGACAAUUUAUCAAAAAUUGGACAUGCUAUAAGAGCGUCGGUACAUGAGACGACAGGCUAUUCACCUUCAUACCUAUUCCUAGGCAGAGAGACAUCUGUUCCCAAUGUUGAUAGACCUAACUCACUACCUUUGUUACAAGGUCUGGACAAUGAGUUCGCGAUAAACGUUACAGAUUAUUUAAAGGAGCAAGAACAGAGGCAUGACAUAUAUACGUUGGUGCAACAGAGGUUACGAGUAGCCCAUGAGCAAAGCCGGAAGUGCUAUGAUAGGAACCGCAAACCAUGCAGUUUUAAGGUGGGAGACAUGGUGUUGAAGAGAACAAAAUUGUUGUCCAGUGCACCUAAUAAAUUUAUGGCCAAGUUAGCUCCAAAGUUCGAGAAGGCAAUCAUAGUACAUAAGCUUUCUGACACAGUAUUUCGUUUGAACAAUGUUUAUGGCAAAUGCGUGGGUAUCUGGCACGUGAAGGACAUGAAACCGUUAGUUCGAGAAUAAAAAAAAAAAUGAUAGGUACAUUUUUUUUUUAAUUGAGGAAGGGGGAAUAUGUCAUGUUGAUUUCUCAGGUUAUAAUACGAUACGGCGGGCCAUAUAAAAAUGAGCAUUAUAACUUGAGCAAUUGGGUUUAGGUUAUAGCGUGCGCGAGCGCAAGUCAGUCACUGCCUUGUGGCGUAGUAGUGACGUCAGCGUCAAACUGACCGAUAGCGAUCGAACUAUUUCGCGCAGGUUCUUAAUGUCACCGUGGCUCCGCGGUCAACUGUUGGUCUACAGCGCAGAUGAUCGUCGGUUCAAAUCCUGGCGAAUGGCAAUACUUUUUCCUUUAUUUUUAGGGCGUUAUUCCGCUUUUAAAAUAGUAACGACAUGCAAAUAGCGAGUCAUUCCAGAUCGCAUUUCAAGGUGUGCGGUUGUUACAAUUAAACUUGUACCCGCCAUGGAAAAAUACAAAUCAAAAAUGUAAUUUGUGCAGAGAAAUGUAUUUAAAGUGCAAUUAAGGAAAUAUUACUUUGUUUUUGAAGUGUAAUUUACAAGAUCGAUAAGGGCUUGUGGACAUGCCCUUUAAGAUCCGAUGGACAAUUAGAGAUAGAAGUGCACCCUUAUAGUUACGCUAGCCGAGGGCAGGAUCAGCAGGGUUCCCAGACUUUGAGUUUAAAUCCCUCUUGGCGCUCAACAAACCUUAGUUUACGUAUUAGUCUUAAGUUUAUUUUAGCAACUAGUUUACUUCUUUAUUAUACUUUAUGUCCUUA
rnacentral:lncRNA from 1 species